AGCAGCCGCGGUAAUUCCAGCUCCAAUAGCGUAUAUUAAAGUUGUUGCAGUUAAAAAGCUCGUAGUUGAAUUUCGGGAUCAAAUUGUCGGUCGUGCCUCGGUACGUACUGGCGUUAUUGGUUCCUCCCUUCUGAAGAACCGCGAUGUCAUUAAUUUGGUGUCGCGGGGAAUCAGGACUGUUGCUUUGAAAAAAUUAGAGUGUUUAAAGCAGGCUCGCGCUUGAAUACAUUAGCAUGGAAUAAUGAAGUAGGACGUUUGAUUCUAUUUUGUUGGUUUCUAGGAUCGACGUAAUGAUUAAUAGGGAUAGUUGGGGGCAUUAGUAUUCAAUUGUCAGAGGUGAAAUUCUUGGAUUUAUUGAAGACUAACUACUGCGAAAGCAUUUGCCAAGGAUGUUUUCAUUAAUCAAGAACGAAAGUUAGGGGAUCGAAGACGAUCAGAUACCGUCGUAGUCUUAACCAUAAACUAUGCCGACUAGGGAUCGGAUGAUGUUAAUUUUUUAAUGACUCAUUCGGCGCCUUAC
rnacentral:rRNA from 1 species